rnacentral:rRNA from 1 species
UGCCUUUGGAUAGGUGGAGAUCAAAGUCGGGGAUCCGCAAGGACCUGACGUUCGAGAGGAGCCCGCGGCCGAUUAGCUAGUUGGUGAGGUAACGGCUCACCAAGGCAACGAUCGGUAUCCGGCCUGAGAGGGCGGACGGACACACUGGGACUGAGACACGGCCCAGACUCCUACGGGAGGCAGCAGUGGGGAAUUGUUCGCAAUGGGCGCAAGCCUGACGACGCAACGCCGCGUGGAGGACGAAGAUUUUCGGAUCGUAAACUCCUUUCGAUCGGAAAGAACAGCUUUCGGGUUAACAGCCUGAGAGUCUGACGGUACCGAGAGAAG